CGUACCUUGAAUCAAGACUCAUGGUUAACUGUAGCUACGGUUUCCAAACAGCAGCCAAGAGCCAGGUCUUCCAAUGGUCGGUUGGCUGUUCAGUACUCCACAAGGGAAUGGCCACUUCAGUUAGAAGAAAUAUAG
ensembl:snoRNA